rnacentral:lncRNA from 1 species
GACAGACUGGAUGUGAGAUGUGGCAGAGAGAGAAGAUUCAUAGCUAACUCUAAGACUUUUGACCUGAGCAGAUGAAAGGAUGCAGUUACCAUGAAGGCUGCAGAUGAGAAGAGCUGAACCUAGAUGAGCUAUCAAUCAAAAAAUGCUUGCACGACCUUCUACAAAAUAACCUGCCUAUACUUUUCAAAACAUCAUGGACAUGAAAGACGAAGAAAGACUGAAGGACUGCUCUAGAUUAAGGAUACCUAAAGAGACAUGAUGACUACAUGCAAUGUGUGAUCCCCAAUAGGAUACUGGUCCACAGGGAAUUUUUUUUCCUUUUGCCAUAAAAUACAUUAUUAG